AAUUCGCCCUUAGAGUUUGAUCCUGGCUCAGGAUGAACGCUGGCGGCGUGCCUAAUACACGCAAGUCGAGCGAGGCCCUUCGGGGCCUAGCGGCGGACGGGUGAGUAACACGUGGGUACCUGCCUGUAAGACCGGGAUAACUUCGGGAACCGAAGCUAAUACCGGAUAAUUUCGAGCAUCGCAUGAUGCUUGAUGGAAAGACGGUUUCGGCUGUCACUUACAGAUGGACCCGCGUCGCAUUAGCUAGUUGGUGAGGUAACGGCUCACCAAGGCGACGAUGCGUAGCCGACCUGAGAGGGUGAUCGGCCACACUGGGACUGAGACACGGCCCAGACUCCUACGGGAGGCAGCAGUAGGGAAUCUUCGGCAAUGGGCGAAAGCCUGACCGAGCAACGCCGCGUGAGCGAUGAAGGCCUUCGGGUCGUAAAGCUCUGUUGUUAAGGAAGAACAAGUACGAGAGUAACUGCUCGUACCUUGACGGUACUUAACGAGAAAGCCACGGCUAACUACGUGCCAGCAGCCGCGGUAAUACGUAGGUGGCGAGCGUUAUCCGGAAUUAUUUGGGCGUAAAGCGCGCGCAGGCGGUUUCUUAAGUCUGAUGUGGAAGCCCACGGCUCAACCGUGGAGGGUCAUUGGAAACUGGGAAACUUGAGUGCAGAGGAGGAAAGCGGAAUUCCACG
rnacentral:rRNA from 1 species